rnacentral:lncRNA from 1 species
AAAUCGCGGGAAGGAGGGGACACCAGCGGCGGCAGACUGGGCAGAGGGCGAGGCCGAGGCCAAGUUGGGAUCGGACGACGACGCCCCCGCGUGCGUUGGGUCACCCCGAUUGCGUGGCCGCCUGGGGUCCCGCGCGGGCCCUGGGUGCGCUCGGCCCGUGGCUCUGUGCGCUCGGCCGGCGGCUGGGCUCUGCCCCGGGGCUCAGCGAGGGGGUGAUCACUGCAGCCCGUGCGGCCGAGCACCCGGGUGUCUUUGUGCCGCGGCCCCGUGCAGCCCCUUUCCGCAUGUCUUUGUGAGGCGCCCCGCCUGGCUCGAGCCCCGCCGGGCACCCACAAGGUGGGGGUGUGGCCCGGGGUGGCCUGCCUGGCCCUUAGCUCCACUCUCCCCUCGCCUCGCCGCUCUUCCCUCCUUUCCGAACUCCCUCCUCCUGCUCCUGCGGUGUCCCCGCCCGGGCUCGCCUCCCCGCACACCCCUCCCAGCCCUAUGCGCGUCCGCGUCGCCCCAGCUGCCAAUGCGUCCUCCCCGCAGCGCCCUCCGCCUGCCUCCCGCUCGAGCCUCACCUGCACCUAUCACCCAGCGUCCUCCUGCCACCUCUUGCUCUAGCUGUCAUGCGUGCGUCUUCCAUGCCUUCCCUAGUCCGGGUGUCAAGAGAGACCCCAGACCGCUACAGGUGAGUGUCUUCCUCGCUAGCGCCCCUCCACCAGGGUGGCACAGAGAUACCAUCCCGCUGCCUUGUGAGCCUCAGAGUGGGGACUGCAAGAGGAUGGUGCCAGCUGUGGCAGGCUACACUGGGGAAGGGUUAAGCAAUAGUCAUAGCACUCUCAGGGCUGCUUGAUUUGGGCCUGGAGUUCCUGAAUCAGAAAGGAACUGGAUGGCUGAGUCAGGGGAGGAUGGAAGGAAACAGACUACACUCUCUGGAAUAACCUGCCACCCCCCCCCCCAUCCCAAGGCUGACACUAAGGAUGCUGAAUGCUGUGGGCGUGGGCAGAUUUUGUGGGGCUGGAAGACAGCAGCCCUCAGGCUGAACUCAUUCGCCAGCCCCUCCCAACACUUGGAGAACCCCAGCUUGGGCGAUUCUAUCCAGACACCUAGAGGGUGACACCCAAGCUGCUGCACUCUUGGCGACAAGGACUGAUUUGGAACAGAAGUGGCCUAGAAAGGGCAGGAGAUUGUAUGCUGCCUUCACUCAACACGGAAGAACUUUAAAACUACCCGCCCUCCCUCUCCAGCUUUGCCAGCAGGAACUCCCAGCUGACCUCCGCCUUCUUCCCUGAGCACCUUGCACACAGUCAGUGUUUUCCCAGGUAUCUGAAGGAAGCCACAGACACAGCCUUGGCUGUAACAUGAACCUCUUAAGUCGUUUACAAGACUCUCCAACAUCAAUGAUUUCUUUUUUUGUAGUUGUUCUAUUUUUGACUCUAGAAUAGUCCCAGCACCUGUUCUGCCUGUUGAAAUAAAGCAUUCAUCUUGCUCCAAUUUAA